rfam:Salmo salar isolate Sally breed double haploid chromosome ssa13, whole genome shotgun sequence.
ACCUUUCAGUUAUAAGUCGCUCUGGAUAAGAGCGUCUGCUAAAUGACGUAAA